AGAGUUUGAUCAUGGCUCAGGAUGAACGCUAGCGGGAGGCCUAACACAUGCAAGCCGAGCGGUAUAGAAUCUUCGGAUUUUAGAGAGCGGCGUACGGGUGCGGAACACGUGUGCAACCUACCUUUAUCUUGGGGAUAGCCUUUCGAAAGGAAGAUUAAUACCCGAUAAUAUAUAAUAUGGCAUCAUAACAUAUUGAAAGCUCCGGCGGAUAGAGAUGGGCACGCGCAAGAUUAGUUAGUUGGUGAGGUAACGGCUCACCAAGACGAUGAUCUUUAGGGGGCCUGAGAGGGUGAUCCCCCACACUGGUACUGAGACACGGACCAGACUCCUACGGGAGGCAGCAGUGAGGAAUAUUGGACAAUGGGUGCAAGCCUGAUCCAGCCAUCCCGCGUGAAGGACGACUGCCCUAUGGGUUGUAAACUUCUUUUGUAUAGGGAUAAACCUCUCCUCGUGAGGAGAGCUGAAGGUACUAUACGAAUAAGCACCGGCUAACUCCGUG
rnacentral:rRNA from 1 species